rnacentral:rRNA from 1 species
GAACUGCAUCCAAAACUAUUUAGCUAGAGUGUGGAGAGGAAGAUGGAAUUAGUUGUGUAGGGGUAAAAUCCGUAGAGAUAACUAGGAAUACCAAAAGCGAAGGCAAUCUUCUGGAACAUUACUGACGCUGAGGCGCGAAAGCGUGGGGAGCAAACAGGAUUAGAUACCCUGGUAGUCCACGCCCUAAACGAUGAAUGUUAGUCGUCGGGUAGCUAGUCUAUUCGGUGAUGCAGCUAACGCAUUAAACAUUCCGCCUGGGGAGUACGGUCGCAAGAUUAAAACUCAAAGGAAUAGACGGGGACCCGCACAAGUGGUGGAGCAUGUGGUUUAAUUCGAAGAUACGCGAAGAACCUACCUAGCCUUGACAUAUUUAAGAAUCCGAUAGAGAUAUUGGAGUGCCUUCGGGAGCUUUCUUACAGGUGCUGCACGGCUGUCGUCAGCUCGUGUCGUGAGAUGUUGGGUUAAGUCCCGCAACGAGCGCAACCCUCGUCACUAGUUACUAACGGUUCGGCCGAGGACUCUAGUGAGACUGCCUUCGUAAGGAGGAGGAAGGUGAGGACGACGUCAAGUCAUCAUGGCCCUUACGGCUAGGGCAACACACGUGCUACAAUGGCCAGGACAGUGAGACGCAAUACCGCGAGGUGGAGCAAAUCUAUAAACCUGGUCUCAGUUCGGAUUGUUCUCUGCAACUCGAGAACAUGAAGCUGGAAUCACUAGUAAUCGUAGAUCAGCUAUGCUACGGUGAAUACGUUCCCGGGUCUUGUACUCACCGCCCGUCACACCAUGGGAGUUGAUUUCACCCGAAGCGGGGAAGCUAAACUGGCUACCCUCCACGGUGGAAUUAGCGACUGGGGUGAAGUCGUAACAAGGUAACC